rnacentral:rRNA from 1 species
UACGUAGGGUGCAAGCGUUAAUCGGAAUUACUGGGCGUAAAGCGUGCGCAGGCGGUUGUGCAAGUCAGAUGUGAAAUGCCCGGGCUUAACCUGGGAACUGCAUUUGUGACUGCAUGGCUAGAGUUUGGCAGAGGGGGGUAGAAUUCCACGUGUAGCAGUGAAAUGCGUAGAUAUGUGGAGGAACACCGAUGGCGAAGGCAGCCCCCUGGGUCAAGACUGACGCUCAUGCACGAAAGCGUGGGGAGCAAACAGG